AUGCAUCAUCAACAUUACGUUGUUGUCUGUUUUGGCUUCCUCCAACCAAAAAUUAGGUCUUCUUGUCGCAAGCAUCGGAUCCUUCUAAUUUGUUCCCCUCCACGAUAUCCCUCUCUAGCCAUCGCAUCAACUCCCUCUUCAGACGCUUCAUGGAGUGAAUGUGCCAGAAUUUCAUUUUCAUCGGAGGUUUUGUGGCGGAAAAAAUAA